GAUGAACGCUAGCUACAGGCUUAACACAUGCAAGUCGAGGGGAAACGACAUCGAAAGCUUGCUUUUGAUGGCCUCGACCGGCGCAAGGGGGGGGUAAGCCGUUCCCAACUGGCCACCACCUUGGGGUAACCUUGCGAAAAGAAGACUAAAACCCAAAGAAAAUCCUAAAAAACAUUCGAAAGAGGUUAAAGAAUUUUUCGUGGUUGGUGGGGAUGCGUCUGAUUAGCUUGUUGGCGGGGUAACGGCCCACCAAGGCAACGAUCAGUAGGGGUUCUGAGAGGAAGGUCCCCCACAUUGGAACUGAGACACGGUCCAAACUCCUACGGGAGGCAGCAGUGAGGAAUAUUGGUCAAUGGACGAGAGUCUGAACCAGCCAAGUAGCGUGCAGGAAGACGGCCCUAUGGGUUGUAAACUGCUUUUAUAAGGGAAUAAAGUGAGUCUCGUGAGACUUUUUGCAUGUACCUUAUGAAUAAGGACCGGCUAAUUCCGUG
rnacentral:rRNA from 1 species